AAAGUCGCACGGUGGCGUCCAGGAAUUCGAUUGAGAUUUGUGGCGAUAUGAAUUAUUGAGGGGC
rnacentral:sRNA from 1 species